rnacentral:rRNA from 1 species
UACGAAGGGGGGCUAGCGUUGCUCGGAAUUACUGGGCGUAAAGGGCGCGUAGGCGGAUAUCUAAGUUGGGGGUGAAAUCCCGGGGCUCAACCUCGGAAUUGCCUUCAAAACUGGGUAUCUUGAGUUCGGGAGAGGUGAGUGGAACUCCGAGUGUAGAGGUGAAAAUUCGUAGAUAUUCGGAAGAACACCAGUGGCGAAGGCGACUCACUGGCCCGAUACUGACGCUGAGGCGCGAAAGCGUGGGGAGCAAACAGG